AUCCAGUUGACGAGUCCCAAGUAAGACGAAACGUGCAUCCUGGAU
rnacentral:hammerhead_ribozyme from 1 species